GCUCCCAUAGCGUACUGGUCACUGCGCUCGCCUUGCACGCGGGAGACCCGGGUUCGAUUUCCGGCGGGGUCA
rfam:Asian citrus Psyllid, Diaphorina citri - Florida Strain, whole genome shotgun sequence.